GGAAAAUAGAAAGAAUCUACAUUGAAAUAUUGGGGGCUGGCUCCCCCGAUAACUAGUGUCGGUUUUUCAUAUUCAAUUCUAAGUUCUGAGAAGCAACGAACUACAUCAAUCUAAUUAUACCAUGGUUGGCCCAUUCUUACCACAGUUCUUGCUCCUGUAUCAACAAAGCCAAUGUCCUAAAGAUCAGAGCUUUAGACACAAAGGAAGGCCAAUGAAUAAGAAGAAAUCAGUGGGAAAGGGAUUAAGAAUAGCAGUCCCACCUUGAUGGCACUCUCAGGCAAGAGGCCCUCUCUUUCUGAUGCUGUCAGGAGCAUAGAGAGACUGGGGCAUAGGGUCAUUCAAAUGGACUGAUACCAGAAAAGGGGGAAAGAUGUGGUUUCUUCAAGGAAGUGACUCCUCAGAGCAUCCAGAAGAGAAAGACGAGAGAAGAAGGUCAGAAUCAAAGAAAUCAAAUCUGUUAUUAGGUCCAGCAGAAGAGCUCCUGACAACAGAAUCUGAUACCAAAAGAUGAGAAACUGGGUUAAUGGUGACCAGAGCAAGAAGCAAGAAACAGAAACAAGAAUGAAAUAAGAGUGUCCAGCAUUCUCAGAGAUUCCCUUUCAUAGGUGAAACUUGCUUGGUGCUUGUAUGCCUAAUUUUAAAGCCAGGGAAGCCAGUUUUCUCACAUUUAUAAUGUAAAUGUGAUAGUAUUUUUGCCUUGUGAUUAGAUUUCAGGUAAGCAUGAAAACGUAGUCAUGAAUUAGUGUCUUUCUUUUCUCCUUCCUAAUAACAUGACUUUCUCACUAUUUGUUUUACUGAAUUAAGUUUUCUAAACUUAGCAAAACCAAGAAACUUCUAGUUCAGAUUUCACUUACAUUUUCUUUUAAUACAACCAUCAGAGCAAUUUCCAAGAAGCAUAAUCUGACUUAAUGAUAUUAUAAUAGUUAGCAAAAUAUCUAGAUAUUAGGCACAGAAAACAGGCUCAUUGAAUAAACAAAUGAACUUGCAACUAUAUCAGGUUUUAAGUGACUUAAACGGUAGUCAGAGAUUUGGCUUCAUUAGGCAGAUACAGUGUUUAUGUGCUACAUAGCUCUUGCUUUUAUUUGUAAGUCUGUUGAAUCAACAAAUGUGCUGAAGAAGAGAAUAAAUAUAUUGAAAUAAAUUAAUGACUAGGGUCAAACCAUUCCAUCAUUCAAAAGCACACAAAACUAAAAUAGAUGCAAC
rnacentral:lncRNA from 1 species